rnacentral:misc_RNA from 1 species
UUAAAAAAAAUUAAUUAAUUAAAUCCUAUUUUAAUUUAAGACUGUCUCAAACCUUCAUUAAAUUACAGGAAUUUCUAGUAAAAUAAUUAAAAUAUUAUUUAUAAUUUUAAAUAUUUAAAAAGUUAAUUUCAAAUCAAUAAAAAAUUAAAUAAUAUUCCGUUUCUAAAAUUAUAAAAUCCCAACCCUAAAUUUUAAUCAAAAUCGGUUAUAAUAUACAUUGAACUCAUCUUCGUCUAUAUAAACUCAAUAAACUAUCGCAGCUCCAUCCUCAUUCCUGCACUGCAUCUUACGAAAAUGUGAUUCACCAGCAUCUAUCUCUUUCUCCAUUUUUGCCUUACUCAAAAACUCUCGUUAAUGGAAAGCCCUAAUCCAAAAGCGUGCCCAUCUCCAUCUUAUGGCGCAGCUGCAACCAUUAUCAACACCUUCCAAGUAACAGCACCACUCUCAUUAAUGGAAAGCAUGCCCGCCCUUUGAUCAUUGCGAUGGCAAUACCCUCAAGAUCUGUUACACCUCUAUCCUUGUUCAGUUUUACGACAGUGGCAAGCCAUCUUAGGGUUUAUGCAGUUUAAUCGUUAGAUUUAGUUGAUAGCUUAUUAGUGGUAGUUGAUAGCUUUUUUUAACAACACCUGUAGGAGGUGAAACCCAAAAUUCACAACUUCUACUUGAAUCAGCUGGGGUAAGCAGAGAAUGUUGUUGAAGAAAUGCUAAGUGUUGCACCUCUUCAAAAUCAUUAUGAGCUAUUCUCAUAGAUAAAAUAGGAUCAGGAUGCUUACCAUAAAAAAUAGCUGCCAUAUUUGCCAACAGAUAAAAGCAACCAAUCUCAAUUGCUGAGGAUCAUUCUUGAAUACAAAAUUAUGCAUAUGAAACCACCAAUUUGCGAAAGAACCAAAUCCUUGAGAGAUAGGCUGAAAGCUCAAAGAAGAAGCAAACCAUGUAGCAGUUGCAUGAGGACAAAAAAAUAAAUGAUGCUCAAGAGAUUCCACAUGAGAUCCACAAAUUUGACAGGAAGGAGAGCUGGAGCACAGCUUCUUUUGAAUAAAUUUUCUCUAGUGGCUAAAGAGUUAUUUACAGCUCCCCAAACAAAGUUUUUAAUCUUGGGCAGGACAUCCAGUUUCCAUAUACUUUUCCAGAACACAUUAGAUAAAGAGAAUGAAGUGGAAGGAUUUUGGAGGGUGUUACUCGUUUUGAGCCUUUUAAAAAUGAAAUAAGCAGAUUUAACAGUUAAUCUCCCAUCUUUCGAAAAAUGCCAAAUUCUUUGAGCUUCUCUGCCAAUACCACCCAAAGGGAUUUUCAAAAUGGCCUUGCAAUCUUCAAAAUAAAAAUUUGACAAUAAAAGUGGCCUAUUCCAUUGAUUAGAAGAUGCAUCAAUAAGGUCUGCCACAUAGAUAAUAGGGCUAUCUGGUGGUCCUCCCAAACAUUAACAAAAGAUGGACCAAUUAUAUUCCAUUUUAACCCUAUUUGUAGAGUUUUCCUCCCUUCCAAUAAGUUUUUCCAACCCCAAGAGGGCUUAUUACCCAACUUAGCAUCCAUAAAAUCAGAAUAAGGAAAGUAAAUCCCUUUUAAAAUCCUAACCCAAAGAGCUUCUGGAUUUGAGACUACCCUCCAAGCUUGCUUUGCUAACAAGGCAAUAUUAAAAAAAUUUAAGUGUUUGAAACCAAUACCUCCCUUCUGUUUGCUCUUUGAUAAAAUGUUCCAAUUAAUCCAAUGGAUGUUGCGUUUGUCUAUGGAGUGACUCCAGCAAAAUUUUUUUAUGAGCCUCUGGAAAUUAGCUAAAAGACCACAUGGCAACUUAAAUAAAGACAUCACAUAAGAGGGAAUUGAUUGAACGAUCAAUUUAAUGAGAAUUUCUUUCUCUGCUUGAGAAAGCAAUCUACUCUUCCAUCCCUGUAGCUUGCCAAUUAGUCUCUCUCUAAGGAAGGACAAAGCUUGAAUUUUUUACUGCCCCCAUGAAACUGGUAAUCCCAAGUAUUUUAAGAGAGAACCUGAAUUGCGAAUAUGAAAUAAGAUAGAAAUAGCUUCUUGAAGAGUAGUCAGAGUAUUCCUACUAAGAGUGAUGUCUGAUUUAACAAAAUUAAUUUGCUGGCCUGAGAUGGAGCUAUAAGAAUCCAGUAACUCCUUAAUCCUUGAAGCUUCUUCCAUUAAUGCUUCUCUAAAAAGAAUUAUAUCAUCCGCAAAAAGAAGGUGUGUUAGGGGUCGACAAGCUCUAGAAAUUUUGUAACCAUGAAUAAUCCCAUCAGAUUGAGCUUCAGAGAACAUCUUGGAUAAUAAAUCCAAAACUAAGGGAAAGAGGUAAGGGGAAAUUGGGUCCCCUUGUCUCAGACCUCUUGAUGGAGAGAAGCUAGAUGAAUUGGAACCAUUUAUCAUAACAGAGUAAUUAACAGUGGAAAUACAUUGCUCUAUCCAUUUUAUCCAUCUGUCACAAAAACCCAACCUACACAUGAUAGACAGCAAUAAAUUCCAAUGGACACUAUCAUAAGCUUUAUUUAUGUCUGCUUUUAUAGCCAUAGUGCCCCCCUUCUUCCUAUAUUGAUGCCGAAGGCCAUGGAAGGUUUCAUGAGCAAUUACCAAGUUAUCUUGAAUGCUUCUAUGGGGAACAAAAGCAGAUUGCAAGGGAGAAAUGAGAUCAUUCAGCCAAAGUUUAAGCCUAUUUGCAAGUGUCUUUGACAUAAUUUUAUAAGAGAAAUUGCGCAAGCUUAUGGGGUGAAAUUCUGCGAAGGAAUUAGGACUGCUAUUCUUGGGAAUUAGAGCAAUAGUUGUGUCAUUUAUAUGGGCUGGCACAACACCAGAUUGAAAGAAGUCUCGGACCAUUUUGAUAACAGAAUUCUUCACAUCAGGCUAGUAUUUUUGAAAGAAAAACCCCUGAAAACUGUCUGGCCCUGGUGCCUUAUAUGCGCCCAUACUAAAGACUACAACUUUAAUCUCCUCGUCAGUAACUGGGGCACACAAAAAAUCAUUCAUCUCAUAUGAAACAAGGUGAGGAAUAAGAUGAAAAAAAUUACUGUUAUCUGGACUUUGUUCUGCUGUAAACAAAGAUUUGAAAUAAUUAAAAGCUUCUUCUUUAAUUGCCCCCUCUUCUUGAAUCCAGUUACCAUACUUAUCGCGGAUUUUGACUAUCUGGUUUCUUUGUCUUCGCUGAGUUGUGGAAGAAUGAAAAAACUGAGUAUUUUUAUCUCCACAUGAAAGCCAUUUGAUUCUUGAUUUUUGAAACCAGUAGACUUCUUCCAACUUAUAAUGAAAACUCAACUCAGCUUUGAUUUGAGAAACUUCUUCUUGUGAAACAGAACAAAAAGGAGAAGAUUGAAUUAUUUCAAGAGUUCUUGAUAACUCCUGAAUUCUCUUUUGAGAAUUUCUGACAUUCCUUCUGCUCCAGGACAACAAAGCUUCUUUGCAAGAUUCCAAGUUUCCCAACAGAUUAUCUGAGGUAGGAUGGUCUAAAUUCCACACAUUCUUGAUAAUAUCAUCACAAUCAGAAAAAGAAGACUACCGCAAAUCAAAAUUAAAAUUACGUCUCACCUUCUUUGGUCUUCGAUUAAGAAAUAGAAUCAAAGAACGAUGAUCCGAGCCUUUGAAUUUUCCAUGUAUUAGUUGGCUAGAAGGAAACAGAAGAUGCCAUUAUGGAUUACUAAUAGCCUUGUUGAUUCGCUCCAUGACUCUAGCUUGUCCCGAUUGCAUAUUAGACCAGGUAUACCUAUUCCCUUUGAACUCUAAUUCUUCUAGCAACCCAUCAAACAAGAAAUUAUGGUAUUCAUUUGUAAUAUGCCUGUUAAUUGAGUGAUGACCCCACUUAUCCUCAUGCUGACUACAAAUAUUAAUAUCCCCAAUAAUUAACCAAGGUUCUCCAUCAUGAAGAUU